CUUAUUUUCGUUUAGAUUGUGGAAUGUUUGAAAGGUCUGGAGCAACAGUUUUCCAAAAUCGCUUUCCAGUUUUUCAAAAGCUUUUCAUUUAAAAUUGAUUCUUUAUGGCUGUUUCAUAAAAUAAUUUUGCUAAUGAACUCUACGGAACAGCGCUUAUGAACUCUAUAAAUCAGCGCUAACAAGCUCUAUGGAACAGCGCUAAUGAACUCUAUAAAACAGUGCUAAUGAACUCUAUGAAACAAUUUUUAAACUAUACAUUUAUCUUUUAAAAUAUACAUUUACUGAGAUCAAAGGUUAUUCUUAGAGUAACAUCUGGAGAAUAAAAUUUUCUUGUUUCAAAUAAUAUUCAAAUAUGGUUCAAAGCAUAAUAUAAAAGUAAAAAUAACUUUGUUAAGACCCCGUCAACAAAGUACAACAACAGUAAAAAAUCUGACCAUAAUUACGACGUCGGUAUGGAAGACGUAUUGAUAUUAUUGCGUAUUAGAUAUGACUACAUAUGUAAAAUGCAAUAAUAAUUUAAGAAAUAAUUUUAAAAUAGUGGUAUUUUAAUGAUAAAUAAAAUUAAGUUAUAUAAAGAAUAUUGAAAAAAUAGUUGCUAAAAUAUUUAAGAAGCAAAUAAAGACAAAUGAAGAUAUCCCUUACCAAAACAUUGAAUUAUUUAAAUCAAAAGAUAACGUGAUUUAUUAUAAGCAAAAAGUAAACAAAAAGAAAUUGAAGAAAUAACCUGAGAUAUGACAAGUUUAAAGAAAACGGGAACGAAUGUUGGAGCAGUAGCGAAACAAAAGUAUUGAAGUUGUUUGAGGAAAAACUUAAAUUGAAAGAUAUGGAGGAUAAUAUUUUAUAUAAUGUUAAGCUGAAAAUUUCAUUCUUAGCGAUAAUGACUCUCCACUAUUCAAUAUCUCAGUGAGAACAAGAAAAACCUGAAAAAUGAAGACAAUUAUUCAAAGCGGUUCAAAAGUUGUUGCAUUUUGAAGUUUCAUAAAACGUUGACAGUCAUUUUUUAAAGAUUUACGUUUAGAUGUAGCAAUUUCAUGCAGUUAAAAAGUGGAUUAAAUGGAGAGAAAGUUUUUCGAAGUAUCAAUAAGUAUUUUGAAAACAUUUAUUGUAUGAACUUAACCAUGAUUUCAAAAUAAUUUGUGUCACAGAAACUUGGCUUAAGACCAAUGAAAAAGUUUUAUUUUUGAGUUAACAAAUUAUGUAUCAGUUUA